GUCCACGCCCUAAACGAUGCAGAUUAGGUGUUUCGAGUAUCGACCCUCGGAGUGCCGUAGCUAACGCGUUAAAUCUGCCACCUGGGAAGUACGGCCGCAAGGCUAAACUCAAAGGAAUAGACGGGGACUCGCACAAGCGGUGGAACAUGAGGUUCAAUUCGACGGUAAACGAAACCUUACCAGGGUUUGAAAUGCACUUGAAGACCAGCAGAAACGUUGGUCGUCUCUCAAGGACAAGUGCACAGGUGCUGCAUGGUUGUCGU
rnacentral:rRNA from 1 species